AUAUGUUGCAUACGUUUAGAAUGAAAUUUGUACUGGCUGGAAGAAUAUCGAGACGUAUAAUCAGAGACACAAUCGUCGAAAGAUACCAGUGAAUAGGGUCAGGAACUAGACUUUGGCUCGAGUUAAGGCAGGUCUCGUUCACUUUGGACGUAAACUGAUAUGAAAGAACAGACCAUCUAUACCGGGUGUUUUAAAAUAUUUGGAUCAAUUGUAGAUAUUUUAUAAUGUAUAGUUCUAAUUAAAAUUUCUAUCAUAUAAUGGAUUAUUCAAAAUAUUUCCUAACUUAAAAACUAACACCGAGAAAAUAUUUAUUACUUAUCCAUUUAAAUUUCAAUUGUAACCUUAAUUUAAUAUUUUUAUUAAAUAAUGUUUGCUGAACAUGGCUUGCGAUUUAAGGAAUUUUAAAUUUGGAUUAUUUAUGAAGUACAUAAAUCGUUUCGUGAGCUA